UGGGGAAUUUUGCGCAAUGGGCGAAAGCCUGACACAGCAACGCCGCGUGCGGGAUGAAGGCCCUCGGGUUGUAAACCGCUUUCAGCAGGGAAGAAAAUGACGGUACCUGCAGAAGAAGCCCCGGCUAACUACGUGCCAGCAGCCGCGGUAAUACGUAGGGGGCAAGCGUUAUCCGGAUUUAUUGGGCGUAAAGCGCGCGUAGGCGGCUUGUUAAGUCAGAUGUGAAAACCGGGGGCUCAACCCGCGGCCUGCAUCUGAAACUGGCAAGCUUGAGUCUGGUAGAGGAGUGUGGAAUUCCCAGUGUAGCGGUGGAAUGCGCAGAUAUUGGGAGGAACACCAGUGGCGAAGGCGGCACUCUGGGCCACGACUGACGCUGAGGCGCGAAAGCUAGGGGAGCAAACAGG
rnacentral:rRNA from 1 species